rnacentral:rRNA from 1 species
GAUGAACGCUGGCGGCGUGCCUAAUACAUGCAAGUCGAGCGAACAGACGAGGAGCUUGCUCCUCUGACGUUAGCGGCGGACGGGUGAGUAACACGUGGAUAACCUACCUAUAAGACUGGGAUAACUUCGGGAAACCGGAGCUAAUACCGGAUAAUAUAUUGAACCGCAUGGUUCAAUAGUGAAAGACGGUUUUGCUGUCACUUAUAGAUGGAUCCGCGCCGCAUUAGCUAGUUGGUAAGGUAACGGCUUACCAAGGCAACGGUGCGUAGCCGACCUGAGAGGGAGAUCGGCCACACUGGAACUGAGGGACGGUCCAGACUCCUACGGGAGGCAGCAGUAGGGAAUCCUCCGCAAUGGGCGAGAGACUGACGGAGCAACGCCGCGUGAGUGAUGAAGGUCUUCGGAUCGUAAAACUCUGUUAUUAGGGAAGAACAAAUGUGUAAGUAACUAUGCACGUCUUGACGGUACCUAAUCAGAAAGCCACGGCUAACUACGUG